rnacentral:rRNA from 1 species
AGUUUGAUCAUGGCUCAGAUUGAACGCUGGCGGCAGGCCUAACACAUGCAAGUCGAGCGGAUGAAGGGAGCUUGCUCCUGGAUUCAGCGGCGGACGGGUGAGUAAUGCCUAGGAAUCUGCCUGGUAGUGGGGGAUAACGUCCGGAAACGGGCGCUAAUACCGCAUACGUCCUGAGGGAGAAAGUGGGGGAUCUUCGGACCUCACGCUAUCAGAUGAGCCUAGGUCGGAUUAGCUAGUUGGUGGGGUAAAGGCCUACCAAGGCGACGAUCCGUAACUGGUCUGAGAGGAUGAUCAGUCACACUGGAACUGAGACACGGUCCAGACUCCUACGGGAGGCAGCAGUGGGGAAUAUUGGACAAUGGGCGAAAGCCUGAUCCAGCCAUGCCGCGUGUGUGAAGAAGGUCUUCGGAUUGUAAAGCACUUUAAGUUGGGAGGAAGGGCAGUAAGUUAAUACCUUGCUGUUUUGACGUUACCAACAGAAUAAGCACCGGCUAACUUCGUGCCAGCAGCCGCGGUAAUACGAAGGGUGCAAGCGUUAAUCGGAAUUACUGGGCGUAAAGCGCGCGUAGGUGGUUCAGCAAGUUGGAUGUGAAAUCCCCGGGCUCAACCUGGGAACUGCAUCCAAAACUACUGAGCUAGAGUACGGUAGAGGGUGGUGGAAUUUCCUGUGUAGCGGUGAAAUGCGUAGAUAUAGGAAGGAACACCAGUGGCGAAGGCGACCACCUGGACUGAUACUGACACUGAGGUGCGAAAGCGUGGGGAGCAAACAGGAUUAGAUACCCUGGUAGUCCACGCCGUAAACGAUGUCGACUAGCCGUUGGGAUCCUUGAGAUCUUAGUGGCGCAGCUAACGCGAUAAGUCGCCCCCCCCGGGAU